AUGAAUUUAUUAGUGAAAAAUAUGGAUGUAGCUGAUUGCCCCUUUAAAGAGUUUUUUCUUUUUCUCUUUUUUAUAGAUCUCCUGCUUAAGCCUAAUAUCUCUCUGACCAUCUCAAUGGGAGGGUUCUCCAGGGGCCACCAGGGGACUCUAGAGGUGUUCAGGGGCCACAGCUUCACUAUCACCUGCUCCAUUCAGCCACAGUACCCAGGAGGCUCCUUCCUCCUCACAUACCCUGACUCCAACAUAACCCAGACUCAGCCAGCUGUCAAUCACUCUGCUGCCUUCUUCUUUCUCACUGCAGAUGACUCCUACCAAGGGAACUACAGCUGUGUUUAUGAGAUUUAUGUUUUUUCUCAUAACUUCUCCUCCGAGAGUGAUCUCCUCUCCCUCACUGUCACAGCCUCUCCUCUGACAGCUUUCAUCAUCAGACUGGUUGUAGUGCUUCUGACAUCAGUGACAGCCAACACCGCCAUCUGUCUGUAUUUCAAGACCACCAGGAGGCGAGUGGAAGGGGUGAAUUUGGAGAUGGUUUCUCUGAGGACCAGAGCUGAAGCCGGACCUGGAGAGAGCAGCCCAGAUGACAGACUAGGGUGA
rnacentral:lncRNA from 8 species